GUCUCUCAGUGAACGCAGCCGAACACCAGACUGGGACGGAGGGUCGGUUUGACGAACGGUGAUACAGUGUGGAUGUGUUGAGCUGGAAUUUUCUAACUCGGUGAAUUGGGAAUUAUUGGACCAAACCAAAUGUGGCUGUAGGAACGGUAGAGGGUUUUGCUCUCUACAGGUUCUCUGGAUAAGUAAACUCAACAAACCGACGGGAUUGGACAGGACUAGAUGGCUAGCGUGCUAACGUUGGUACAAGCCAAAGCAGUCAGACCUUAACGAGAGAGCAAGGAUACAGCGGUCAGAGCGUCUGUUGAGACCAUCGCCUCGGUCCACACUCAGAGCCUGAAAAGAUCCUCGCAGUCAAAGUGGAAGCUUGGCAGCUCAGACGCCAUGAUGUCACGAACACCUCAUCAUCUCGGUUAUGUAAAAACCAAUAAAUCCCU